CGCAUCUGUGCAUGCAGCAUAUCAAUAAGCGGAGGAAAAGAAACUAACAAGGAUUCCCCUAGUAACGGCGAGUGAAGCGGGAAGAGCUCAAAUUUGAAAUCUUAAAGGGUUUCCCUUUACGAAUUGUAGUUUAAAGAAGUGUUUUCUGUUGAGGUUUUGGUAAAAGUUCUUUGGAAUAGGACAUCAUAGAGGGUGAGAAUCCCGUAUUUGACCUUUACUUUCAACUUUGUGAUACACUUUCAAAGAGUCGGAUUGUUUGGGAAUGCAGUCCAAAAUGGGUGGUAAAUUUCAUCUAAAGCUAAAUAUUGGCGAGAGACCGAUAGCGAACAAGUACCGUGAGGGAAAGAUGAAAAGAACUUUGAAAAGAGAGUUAAACAGUACGUGAAAUUGUCAAAAGGGAAGCGUUUGACACCAGUGCUGUUUUUCUGAAAAUCAAUUAAAGAACUGUUUAUGCUAAGUUGUUUAGACUUUAUCAGCUAUCUGUUUAGUUUUGAGCUUUUCUUUAAUGCACUUUUCAGUUAACAAGUCAACAUCAAUUUCUUUUGCUGUAAAAAAGCUUGAGGAAGGUGGCUUGAGAUUCGUCUUAAGUGUUUAUAGCCUCUUGCCUAUGCAGUCGGAGAGAUUGAGGUCUGCAGCGUAGAUCCUUCGGGGCUAAAUGCAUUUGUGCUAAGUUAUAGCAUUUUAUAGACAACUUGUUGACUAUGAUUUGUCUUGUAGCUUACUCGCUUAUGUUAUUUUACCUACGCUUAGGAUGUUGAGUCAUCACACAUCUCU
rnacentral:rRNA from 1 species